CAGUAGCCGCGGUAAUACGUAGGUCCCGAGCGUUGUCCGGAUUUAUUGGGCGUAAAGGGAGCGCAGGCGGUUUAGUAAGUCUGAAGUUAAAGGCAUUGGCUCAACCAAUGUAUGCUUUGGAAACUGGGAAACUUGAGUGCAGAAGAGGAGAGUGGAAUUCCACGUGUAGCGGUGAAAUGCGUAGAGAUGUGGAGGAACACCAGUGGCGAAGGCGACUCUCUGGUCUGUAACUGACGCUGAGGAGCGAAAGCGUGAGGAGCGAACAGGAUUAGAUACCCCUGUAGUCCCUGUCUCUUAUACC
rnacentral:rRNA from 1 species